AUUUCCAACGAGCGGUUACGAUCUCACACACGUGAGGCGAAUGCAGUGCAGUACUCUGCAUUCCUCAAUCUCUCCUCCGUCAGACGAGAAAGAGCCUGCGUUAAUCUGGCGUUUUUCAAGGAGAGCUCACACCGAAGCUUCGGUGUAUGCGAGAAGGACAAUCCCUUCUCCUUUCCUAUUCCUAAAAUCCUCCCCAACAAAUACACACAGAUACCUUCAAAUUCCCGCUCUUUUCUUCCCCAAACAGGAAAAUAUCACCCCCAAAUCUUGCCAUUUCACCCCUUCUUUCAAUCUCAUCUGCAAUAGCUGUGGUCCCUCUACAUGCUUAUACCAUAGCUUUGAAAUAAGAUUGAAAUAGACAUACGGGUCUUUACAGUAUUUUGCUCAAAGAAACUGAGGUACAGCCAAUUGCCGGAUAGAAGCAUUGAACUUUCUCUAAUUCUGUGGGAACUCUUCGGCUUUGAAAUUGGCACAUGAGCCUUGGAAUAUUUGCUUAAAGAAACUGAGAUACAGACAAUUGCUGGAUAGAAGCAUUGAACUUUCUCUAAUUUUGCUGGAACUCGUCUGCUUUGCUUGUUUGAAAGUGGUAACAAUGGACCCCUCAAUCAUGAAGCUUCUUGAGGACGAUGAGGAUGAAAGCACAUACUCUGGGGCAGAUGUGGAUGCAUUUACAGCUGCCUUAAACAGAGACAUAGGAGGGGACACAUCAAAUUCUCAGCUUGCUGAUUCAGAUUCUGGCAUGUUGGCCCAUGGAAGCAACCCAACAGCUAAUCAGUUAAUCGGACCACAGCAAACUUCCAAUCAAGAAGAAAAUCUAACUCACCAACAUCACCCAAAGGAAGAACAUCAUCAUUUGCCACCACAGGGGCAACAUACAUCUGAAACGGAGCAGAUUCCACAUGGGUCUACAGCCGAGAACCAGCACCAACAAAAUGUUCACUCAACGGAAAACGAUCAGCUGCCAUUGCAGCAGAAACAGUCCCAGGACGAUCAGCAACAUCGUCAGACAGAACAAAAUAAUAAUGUACAGAUUUCUGAACAAAUUCCUGUUCAGCGCCUAGAACAGGAUAAGUUUCAGCAGUCCGAGAUCCAACACCAACUUUCGAAACUACCACAGUUGAAUAAACCGGCACAAGCAGCAGAUAGAGCAAAUAAUCCAAUGGUGCAGAACAGGUCACCUAUUAACAUAUCAAUAGGCAUGUUGAUUCCAGUCUUAUGUUCUCACCUUGACAAAGAUAGAGCUAUGCAGCUUCAAACAAUUUUUACCAAAUUGAGGCAAAACGAAGUCGGCAAAGAGGACUUUCUGAGAGUCGUAAGAAAUAUUGUGGGGGACCAGAUGCUCAGACAGGCAGCUGACCAAGUACAGAUGCAGUAUAAACAAAAGCUUCAAGCCGAAGCUGCGCAGAACUCACAGACGAAUCGUCACCAAUAUCAGUUACGGUCUAAAGCUUCUCCCCAGCAGCAGACCACACCAUCUUCUAGUUCUCAACAGUUCAUCAAACCCCAAUCAUUUCCUACCCAACAUCAGAACCAGUCUCAGAUUCCAUCUUCAGCAGUCCCUAUUAAGACGGAAGCAUGCUUUCCAAUCCCAGAGAACAGUGGCCAGAAGUCUAGAGAGAUGGAACAUCAGAUACCUUCUGCCAACAUGAAAGCAGUUAGUCAGGAAAGAGACCUUUCUGCAGUUUCACUACAAGCCAUUAACAAGCAGCCGCAGCAGCCGCAACAAUUGCAUCUUCCGCCAACAUCUUUUCCAAUGUAUGGGGGAGCGAUCAGUAACUUUAGUUCACAUGCAUAUUCUGGGCCAUCUGUCAGUUCUGCUGCAACUUCUAUUAAAACCCAAAAUCAAGAUUCACAAAUGAGGAAGGUCCCACAUCUCCAAGGCAUGGUUUCAACUCAACCUGGGGCUACUCAGCCCAUGAACCUAAUGAACAUGCCCAAGUAUGAGCAACAAAAUACAAUGAAUGACCCCAAGAGGCUGCACAGUGGACCUAUUUCUCAUUUGACAGGCCAUUCAGGAUUGCAGCAGAAUCCAAUGGUGUGGCAAUCGUCAUUCAACAAAGAGCAGCAAAGUAGCGGUUUAUCUUCAAUGCCUUUUCAAAGACAGGAAACAGCUGAUCACAUGGCUAAUCAGCAGCACAAGACUCAAUUGUCAGCUCCUCUGAGCUCAUCUUCUUUUGGCAUGGGACGGAUGGACCAAGUUAACCCUGGUCCCGGCCCUCCCAAGGAUGAAAAUAUUGAGAAGCAGCCGGGUAGAAUGGGUUUUCCUACCGCUUCAAGCAUGAUAAUGAAGCAUCCGAUUUCAAGUUCUAUGGCAACACAACUGGAACCAACUCAGACACGGUCUCAGAUCCCAUCUGCAACCACACCGGCUGGGUCUGGAUCUAAUGCAAGGACACCUCCUAAGAAAUCAUCCGUUGGUCAGAAGAAACCACUUGAAGCACUUGGCACUCCCUCACCCCUUUCAAGUAAGAAACAAAAGGCAUCAUCUGGUGCUCUUCUGGAUCAAAGCAUCGAACAACUCAAUGAUGUUACUGCUGUCAGUGGAGUUAACCUGAAGGAAGAGGAAGAACAGCUCUUGUCUGCACCAAAGGAGGAAAGUCGAGCUUCAGAGGCCAGUCGAAGGGUUGUACAAGAGGAGGAAGAAAGGCUGAUUUUGCAGAAGGGCCCUCUUCAAAAGAAAAUAGCAGAAAUCAUGUCCAAAUGUGGUGUCAAGAGUAUAGGUAAUGAUGUGGAGCGUUGCCUUUCAUUGUGUGUGGAGGAGCGAAUGCGUGGGUUGAUAGGUAAUCUGAUAAGAAUAUCAAAACAGAGGGUUGAUGUUGAAAAGCCAAGACACCGGAUUUUUAUCACCUCAGAUGUUCGACGGCAAAUUCUGAUGAUGAAUCGGAAGGCUAAGGAAGAUUGGGACAAAAAGCAGGCUGAAGAAGCUGAAAAGCUCCGAAAAAAUAACGAAACCGAGGGAAAUCUGGGAGCUGAGGUGGACAAGGACAAGGAUAAGGACAAGGAUGAAGGUCGUUUAAAGGCACCCAAGCCAAACAAAGAGGAAGAUGAUAAAAUGCGGACAACAGCUGCGAACGUUGCUGCCCGAGCUGCUGUUGGAGGAGAUGACAUGCUGUCAAAAUGGCAAUUGAUGGCGGAACAAGCCCGGCUGAAGCGUGAAGGGAUACAGGAUGGGGCAUCUAGUGGCUCACCAGGUAAAGAUCCGAGCCGCAGGCCUUUAUCAGCCUCUGGAAAGACUUCUAGGGACAACCAAGAAGUUGAAAACAAAGGUCCUUCUGCUGGUUCUGUAUCAGGUGCCAUAAGGAAGUUUGGGAGGAACCAGGUAAUCAUGCCACAGACAAAAGUGGCACGCAGCAUCUCUAUUAAGGACGUGGUUGCAGUCCUGGAAAGGGAGCCACAGAUGUCGAGGUCGACUUUGAUCUAUCGCUUGUACGAGAGAAUGCAUGGCAAUGCUGUGCCAGAAUGAUCUGGUGAAACAGCAGAGUAUGUGUUGUACAAUAAUUACUUGAGAAAGUCACCACGCGACCAAUCUUCAAGUGUAGGGCCCACUGAUGGCUGUAGUAAUCUGCUGGUGGCCAACUGCUUUACAUGUUUCUUCCACGUCCAAGUGAGUUGAGACUCAUUUCUGUGAAGACCAUCCCCGAUGCCGAUAUUCACGCAUCGAAAGCAUGAUCUGAAUCUCAGCAGGGAGCAAGCUGUCAAAUGCUUCGAUGCAAAAAUGUUGCUCCUGAAACUCUUCCUACUCCAGACUGGAGUCCGAGUUGUCAGGCCUUCAGAGGAAGGGAUGAGAAAGGAAGUGCAAAUGGUUCACAGGUACUGGAUACCAUGUUGUAGAUGAAUUCAAUCUAUAUUUGGAGGUCAUGCAAUGUAGGACUUAAGCGCCUGGGAUUGGUAAUUGUGGAAGAUGUGCAGGGUUUAUGAUGGUUGGUGACAUGUGUAGCAUUAUGGCACAUAUAUGGUGCUGGGAUUGCACCUGGGACGGGAAAUGGUGGAAGAUGUGGGGAGAUUAUGAUCAUUAGUGAUGCGUGUAGCAUUGUGGCACGUGUAUCAACCAUCACAUGCCAGAGUAUAUAUAAAUACCAAAUAAAUCUCUCUUCUUCUUUUUU